UUUGCCGGGAGAGCAGCAGCAGCAGAGCUUAAUGUCGUGAAUUUUUGGAGUGUGUUCGGUCUAGCUGGUCAAUCUUCACGAUCGCGAAACGGAUUUUCUGCGGGUUUUUGCGCCGGUUCCGGGUCCAAAGUAGUGUCAAAGUGUAGCGCGUUUCGGGCCGCGGGUGAAUUUCCUAUUUUCCGACCGCGGGAGCAGUUAUUUCGUGUAGAAAAUUGAAGGUGAAAUUUGCUUCGCAUCCGCCGCCGCCGCCACAUAAAUAAUUGUUGCCAGAACGGCCCAAAACCGAAUCGCUUUGGGUUGGAUUGCUUCAUCGCGCUACUGCUGGUGGUGCUGGUACUCCGCGCUUCAGUUGCUGGUACCUAUAUGCUGUAGCUUUUGGAUUAUAUUCUUACACGGGAAAGGUGUCCGGUGUAUUUUUCCGAGAGGGGGUGACAAGGCUAGAUUUUGUGUUACAAUCUUCGGAAGGUGACUGUGGCCAGUGUACCUUCGAAUAUUGUUAUUUUAGCGAAUUGAAAGUGUUUUGAUUAUUAUUUUGAGUUCUUCGUCUAUUUUUAUAUUCAGAUAUACAGUGACACUAGAAACUAGUGACGAAUAGUGAAGGUUGGCAUUUUUGGACAUACAAUAUACCGUGAGAUUGACAGCUCUCACACAGUACGAACAAAAAUAAAGCGACGCAAUCGAAACGUGCUCUCUUGGAUAAUACCGUGGACAGGAGUUUUCGGUUCAGCUUCUCUCAGUUAAAGAACCCGCCACAAUGAGGACUACGGUUAGGCGAAAAUAACCUUUCCCAAUAACUCGUAGCCAGAGGACAAAGCCUGAGAAGUGCACGCAAAAAUUUCACGCAGUGUGAACUCAUACACGCGGACAACCACGGGAUGCAACCGAAGGCGUAUCGCUGAUGCAGGAGGGGUAACUACUGAUGGUGACCCACAAAAGCAGCCAACAGUCGUUCAGCGUGAAUUAAAGAAAAAAUCUGCAAAGCAACUUUUUUUUCUCCUUGUACAGUAAUUUUGAAUCGGCGAAGAGCGAAAAACCAUAACCAUACACAACCCGUCUGUGAAUACAACAAAUUAAUCUGUUAGGAAGAGAGUUACUAAUAUUUAGUCAUUCAUAUAUAUGCGCAUAUAUUUCCUAUUAUAAGUCAGUGCGUGUGCUGUGUUUAGAUUUAGAGCAAACCUAACCAUACAGAGGUGUAAUUUUAGAAGCAGUAGUUCCCCCGAUUUUGGAAUUCCCAGCGGAAUAGAAACAACCAUUUUCGGUGGUUCGUGUGUGGUGCGAAAAACGCCAGUGUUGAAAAUCGAGUGUACAAGCAGUGCGUGUGUGUGUAUCGUGCGUGACGAAAAUACGUGCAAAGGUACUCGUGCAGUUGUCGUCAUUCGCAAGGAAUAACAGCUCCCCCCACCCCGCCAAAAUACGUCAACAAUGUUGCCGAAACGUUCCCGUUUGGGCGAUGUGCGCGGGCCUAUCUCGAAUGGGCCGAUGCAGUCGCGGCCGCUGGUCGCACUGCUGGACGGUCGGGAUUGUUCGAUCGAGAUGCCGAUCCUGAAGGAUGUCGCCACAGUCGCGUUCUGCGACGCGCAGAGUACAUCGGAGAUUCAUGAAAAAGUAUUAAACGAAGCGGUCGGAGCACUGAUGUGGCACACAAUCAUCCUCACGAAAGAAGAUCUGGAAAAGUUCAAAGCGCUGCGGAUAAUCGUCCGCAUUGGUAGCGGCGUGGACAACAUCGACGUGAAGGCAGCCGGUGAACUGGGGAUCGCCGUGUGUAACGUGCCAGGCUACGGAGUCGAAGAGGUCGCCGAUACCACCAUGUGUCUGAUCCUGAACCUGUACCGGCGAACGUACUGGCUCGCGAAUAUGGUUCGAGAGGGUAAAAAAUUCACAGGACCCGAACAGGUGCGGGACGCGGCGCAGGGUUGCGCAAGAAUACGAGGAGACACCCUGGGUCUGGUCGGGCUCGGCAGAAUAGGCAGCGCCGUGGCGCUGCGAGCGAAAGUGUUCGGUUUCAAUGUGAGCUUCUACGACCCGUACUUGCCGGAUGGUAUCGAGAAAUCGCUUGGUCUGAACCGAGUCUACACCCUGCAAGAGCUGCUAUUCCACUCGGACUGUGUGUCGCUACACUGUACAUUAAAUGAACAUAAUCAUCACUUAAUUAACGAGUUCACGAUUAAACAGAUGAGACCCGGUGCAUUUCUAGUGAACACAGCCCGCGGUGGUUUAGUCGACGACGAAGCGCUGGCCCACGCACUGAAACAGGGCAGAAUCCGGGCGGCUGCGUUAGAUGUUCAUGAGAAUGAGCCAUACAAUGUAUUUCAGGGUGCCCUGAAAGACGCCCCCAACCUACUGUGUACACCCCACGCCGCGUUCUACAGCGAGGCGGCCACGACCGAGCUGCGCGAGAUGGCGGCCAGCGAAAUCCGGCGGGCAAUCAUCGGCAAUAUUCCGGACUGUCUACGGAACUGCGUGAACAAGGAAUACUUCCUGCGAUCGUCGACUGGCGGCGGCACCGGAGGAUACUCAGAAGAUAAAAAACUUAUAGCUGGUAUAAAUGGCGGCUAUUAUUCAGGUGGAUUACAGCAAGCACAUAGUACAACACCGCUCGAGGCACCGCACAGUGCUGGAUCACACGGGCCGCCCAGUGGUCCCCCGCCACCAUCAGUCGCCGUACCACCUGUCUCCGCUGUUACAGCGCCACCACCACAAGAUUCCGGGAUUUCUGCCGCCUAUGACGCUACCAAUCUCAUGCGCCGGCACUAGAUGAGCCCUUCUACUACUGUAAGCAAACGCAUCUCGCUCGCACAGUCUACGGGGGACCACGCGCAUCCACAGUUCACAUCUACAAUUUUGCUAAAAAUUAUGCUUUCGAAAGUCCCGCCCAUGCAACCGAAGACAAUCGUUGAGGCCAAAUUCGCUGCGGAGCAUAGAAGUCGAAGUGGAUGCGAAGAAAGUGGACGAACGAGUUUUGCACGAUCGAUCGCCCCCGUUUCUGAGCUGAGGAGUCCAACACACGUCUACACACGCGCAUACUGCCACAAUUAAUAGCACUAAACAACAAACAAACCAAUAGAUAUGUGGGUGUGUGUGCGUUUGUGUUUUUUCCCUGCUGGGUAUGCCAGCGGUAUUCGAGUUAGAGGAUUACAGCCUCUUAGUGCCCCCGAUCCAAGUAAUCAUCAUUCGGUUAAGCCGGAACCAUCGGAAGUACAUUAGUUUCAUUAUUAUUAUUAUGUAUGACUUAUUAUUAGUUACGAUUACGAGACAAAAGUGGACAACAGAGAAAGAUAGUAAGAGAGAGGUAGAGAAAGAUAGAGAGAAAGAGCAAAAACGCAAAAAGGGAAAAAGAAACUUUUUUAAUUUGAACGUAAGUAAAAUAAAGUGAAUAAAAAAACACAAGUGAGGGAUUAAAAACAACAAAAAAUAACUGAAGAAUUAUAUAUUGAGAAAGAGGAAACAAUGAGGAUCGAUAAUAAUUAUUAUGAUAAACAGUAAGAAAGAAAAACAUUGUGAGAAAUGAUUAUUAGUAAGAUGUGAGAAGUUACUGCAAAAAGUAUAAGCAAAAAAAAUGUGAAAAAAGAAGUAAUACAAAAUAGUUUUGUGUAAGAGAAGAAACUAUGUAUAGAGAUACUAAACAGGUGUAAACAAAACUGAGCAGCAGCCACGCAACUCCAACCACCACCACCACAAUAACUGAUUGGUUUUGCUAAGCCGAUUGUUUCCAACUCCAGAUUCUAUAAACCCGAAAUUUUGAAACAAUAUGGUUCUCGCUUCCAUAGAAAUAACACAUUACAGAAACACACCACAUUCAUACACCGGCCGUUUAUUGGAGCAAAUGUGUAGACAAAAGUUUGAAAAAAAAACUGGAUUGUACUCAUACUGAUACGAUUACAGACACGAGAAUACAGCUAUGUGUUGUAGUGGUACAUUUAAAAUGAAUUGCUUCCUUUUUUGUUUUAAAACUCUUAAUAAUAAUGAAUUGGAUUAUAUUUUAUUGUCUUUGUAAGUAGAAGAACAGAAAUUCCUUUUAUUUUUUAAUGUAUGUAGAGAGAUAACUAAGGAAAAUUAAAGGAGAAAAAUAAAGGGUGGAAUACUUGAGUACGUGAGUGUGAGCGAAAUUUUCGAUGGUUGGAAAAAAACUGUGUUGAAUCGCAUCGGCGUAAACUAGGCAAGUUGUGUGAAGAGCUCUGGAAUAUACCUGAUAACCUGGGGAAAAACCAACGUACCGAUGUAACAGCUUUGAGUACUUUUGAUUAUUUCUUUUGAUGGUUUUUUUUUCUACAUGAUACAGACAUAUUCGCACAUAAACCAGGUAAGUUUCACCUUCACACUUGUUAGUUAAGUCUAGAAUUCUUUUUUAUUCGAUAGUUCAACAGUUUGCUUUUUUUGGUGUUCAAGAUAAAAGGCUAACUAAAGGCAGACGACAAUAUUGGCUUAGUUUCGAAAUGUACAUGAGGACUAGUUAGUAUCCAAAUCAAAACUUGGUGGUUAUCUAUUACACAUUUUGCCUUUCAUUGUUACUCUUUAGAUUACCUUAAAAUCGAUUCAGCGAAAUAAAAAUACCUUUAAAUAUUCAAGUUAUUAUUCCAACAGACAUGUACGAGGUAGGAACAUUUUAGCAAGUGCUUGCUUUGCUUACAGUACCACCCUUCUUGUUUGGAAUACUUUUCACAAUCGACCAGCAUUUUUCAUCUUCAAAGUAUCUAAAAUAAUUGCACUCUUGGAAGGUCACAGUGAUACUCCUUUAUUGGAAUCAUUCUUUUGUCCAGUCAGGUCAGAGUUUUAUCUGAUUAAAUUACUCUUAUGCCGCAUCAGAAGAAGCUUGCCAAAUACAAAAUAUAUUUUUUGCGCGAAGUUUACAAUACAUUUCUCUGUCUAUUUCGACGAAAUAGAAUCUAGUCGGUAAAUUUUAUCUCACAUUACGAUCUGGCAAAAUCUAUGGUUUGAAAAUGUUUAACUCAGCCCUUUGCUCCACUUUAUAGACAUAAGCGAGCGAUAGUCCUAGACUACCAUUAUCGCCACGCUCCUUGUCGAAAACUUUUCAAAUUUCGUUUGAUGACCAUCCAAAUCAGUCACCAUAGCUUUCCCGCAUCCGUUGCGUGACCGAUAUUCGAACUGGCUUAAUAUAUAUCGCACACUUUUGUUGUGAAACAAUCUAACUUUUUAGCAUGUUCUCAAUCGGUUAGCCCGUUAGAAUAUUUGCUGUCUUGAAACCGGCUACUGUAUUAAUGCAUCAACGUGAUAGAGGAACACAAGACGUCAAACUUCCCAUUAGGACGAAUUGGUCAUUUUCGUAGGUCCAACUCCUGGUCAAGGUUCGACAUUUUUAAUAUGAUAGCUAAUGAAAAAUAAAAGUUCGUGUGAAAGAAAUACGGAUACGGUUCGUUAGCAUUUCCCAAGAUUCCAGAGCUUUUUGCCAACUUGAAGUAUUUCGAAACCGGAAGUCCGAGUGACUAGUAGAUGUAGAACAAUCUGAACGCGAAAAAAUGAAAAGGAUAAAAAAGCAUGGUAAAACGCGAUCAACAAGUUUUAAUCUAAAUAAUAAGAACAGGAGCCCCCUCCUCCCCUUCUAACCGUAUGCUUUAAGAAUGUAAGUGAAAUUUAGUAAGAGGUGGUAUCAAACAAAAGUAACCACGAGUGGUUACAAGACACUGACACAUCCACAAUGCUAGGCACAAACGAAGAGCGCGAAAGGGUAACGUUUUUUUGUCAUCCGUCUGGAUUUUCCUGGGCAGAAGAAUACCAGUCCAACACACAUAGAUCACACUUUAUCAGAGUAGAAAGCCGACCAAAAAUCGUAGUUUCCCCAGUUGUGCAAAAUAAAAGAGACCCCCCUAUGUAUACCAACCAACCUGGACAUACACACAUACCUACGCCAACGCGUUCGUUCUGAUAGGAAAUUUCACAAACAGAAGAAACAGUUUCAAGGAAAAAAUAAGUAUCCGCGCGCAAACUCACAGGUUAAUAGAAAUUGUGUCGACAGUGAGAGGAAGAGCAACACAGAUUAGAUAUAAUUCCUAUGUAGAGCUGGGCAUUUGUUGUUUUGGAAAGCAACCUGCAAAUUAACAACAAAUAAAAACAAAAGAAAAAUAAUAACAACAAACAUUCAUUCCUUUGCGAAAACAAUAUUGAGCAAGCAGAAUACAAACAAAAAUCGUCUGUACAUGAAAUGGCAAAACCUGGGCAGAAAAAUGGAUGGCAUAAAUAAAACUGAAAUGGGUAAAAAUA